rnacentral:rRNA from 1 species
AUUGAACGCUGGCGGCAUGCUUUACACAUGCAAGUCGAACGGCAGCGCGGGCUUCGGCCUGGCGGCGAGUGGCGAACGGGUGAGUAAUGCAUCGGAACGUGCCCAGUCGUGGGGGCUAGCCCGGCGAAAGCCGGAUUAAUACCGCAUACGACCUGAGGGUGAAAGCGGGGGACCGAAAGGCCUCGCGCUAUUGGAGCGGCCGAUGUCGGAUUAGCUAGUUGGUGGGGGAAAGGCUUACCAAGGCGACGAUCCGUAGCUGGUCUGAGAGGACGACCAGCCACACUGGGACUGAGACACGGCCCAGACUCCUACGGGAGGCAGCAGUGGGGAAUUUUGGACAAUGGGGGCAACCCUGAUCCAGCCAUGCCGCGUGCGGGAAGAAGGCCUUCGGGUUGUAAACCGCUUUUGUUCGGGAAGAAAUCCUCUGGGCUAAUACCCCGGGGGGAUGACGGUACCGGAAGAAUAAGCACCGGCUAACUACGUG